rnacentral:misc_RNA from 1 species
AACGCACAUUGCGCCCCUUGGCAUUCCGAGGGGCAUGCCUGUUCGAGCGUCAUUACACCAAUCAAGCUGUGCUUGGUAUUGGGCCCUCGCCCCCGUGAAACGGGGCGUGCCCGGAACCUUUCGGCGAAGUCACAUCGGCUUUGGACGUAGUAGAAACAAAACGUCUUACGGGCCCGGUGAGGUUUCCGCCGUCAAAACCCCCCAUUUUUACCAAAGGUUGACCUCGGAUCAGGUAGGGAUACCCGCUGAACUUAA